rnacentral:rRNA from 1 species
AACGAACGCUGGCGGCAGGCUUAACACAUGCAAGUCGAACGCACCUUUCGGGGUGAGUGGCAGACGGGUGAGUAACACGUGGGAACGUACCCUUCAGUUCGGAAUAACCCUGGGAAACUAGGGCUAAUACCGGAUACGGCCGAGAGGCGAAAGGUUUACUGCUGAGGGAUCGGCCCGCGUCCGAUUAGCUAGUUGGUGUUGGUAACGGCUCACCAAGGCGACGAUCGGUAGCUGGUCUGAGAGGAUGGCCAGCCACAUUGGGACUGAGACACGGACCAAACUCCUACGGGAGGCAGCAGUGGGGAAUAUUGGACAAUGGGCGCAAGCCUGGUCCAGCCAUGCCGCGUGAGUGAUGACGGCCUUAGGGUUGUAAAGCUCUUUUACCUGGGAAGAUAAUGACGGUACCAGGAGAAUAAGCCCCGGCUAACUUCGUGCCAGCCGCCGCGGUAAUAC